rnacentral:rRNA from 1 species
CCCGAUGCAAACUGCGAAUACCGGAGAAUGUUAUCACGGGAGACACACGGCGGGUGCUAACGUCCGUCGUGAAGAGGGAAACAACCCAGACCGCCAGCUAAGGUCCCAAAGUCAUGGUUAAGUGGGAAACGAUGUGGGAAGGCCCAGACAGCCAGGAUGUUGGCUUAGAAGCAGCCAUCAUUUAAAGAAAGCGUAAUAGCUCACUGGUCGAGUCGGCCUGCGCGGAAGAUGUAACGGGGCUAAACCAUGCACCGAAGCUGCGGCAGCGACGCUUAUGCGUUGUUGGGUAGGGGAGCGUUCUGUAAGCCUGUGAAGGUGGCCUGUGAGGGUUGCUGGAGGUAUCAGAAGUGCGAAUGCUGACAUAAGUAACGAUAAAGCGGGUGAAAAGCCCGCUCGCCGGAAGACCAAGGGUUCCUGUCCAACGUUAAUCGGGGCAGGGUGAGUCGACCCCUAAGGCGAGGCCGAAAGGCGUAGUCGAUGGGAAACAGGUUAAUAUUCCUGUACUUGGUGUUACUGCGAAGGGGGGACGGAGAAGGCUAUGUUGGCCGGGCGACGGUUGUCCCGGUUUAAGCGUGUAGGUGUGUGUUCCAGGUAAAUCCGGUUCACUUUAACACUGAGGCGUGAUGACGAGGCACUACGGUGCUGAAGCAACAAAUGCCCUGCUUCCAGGAAAAGCCUCUAAGCAUCAGGUAACAUCAAAUCGUACCCCAAACCGACACAGGUGGUCAGGUAGAGAAUACCAAGGCGCUUGAGAGAACUCGGGUGAAGGAACUAGGCAA